ensembl:lncRNA
GCGAAAGAAGUCCGGUAGCGAAGAAGAGAAGGAGAAGGAUAACUUUGCUAACAAACAUGCCGGAGGCACACAAACGAAUACGAAUCGACAACAUGAAUGUGGUAGAUCAUCUAUUGGAGCACAGAUUUGAGACCCUUAUUCUGGAGGAAAAUGUUUGAGCUAUUUUCUUUGAUUUCUCCUCCAGGACACUGCUUAGGCCUAUGGGAGUGUCUGCUGUCCUGGCAGGUCCUUGUGGGUGGAGGGCUGAAGAAUGGGAAACACCAAGCCAGGGCUACAAACAGCAUGGUGGGACACUUGACUAAGAUAGCCGGGAGCAGGCGGAGUCAACGUCUACAAAGAUCGCCACGACUGUGAAAAUAAAUAGAUGACGUCACGAACACUGGAAUCCAUCUGUGCCGCCCAGUUGAUCACCGAGGACGAGGGCUUGGGUCGGCUGGCCCACACGGUGCAAGUCUUGGUGGACCUUGCGCCGACUGCUGCCAGCCACCGCCGCGCUAGCAGACCGGAGCCGCUAGGGGCGGACAGGCUAAGCACUGCUCCAUCCUUCUCUUGAAAGUUAAAGAUGGAUUUCUAAAAACAGGCGUUUAGUUCGAUUUUUUUGGUUUUCAAGGAGGCCUAUAUAAAUUAUGGGAAGUGGAAGUCGAGCAACUUGUUUUAAAGUUGAUUCAUAGUUUUUUUUUGUUAGGAUCUUUAACUUUAAACAUUUUUUUACUCGUCAAACAUCUAAUUAUCAUGCAAUAGGCCUAUCUCACAAAAAUCGGAAAUGACGUCACACCGGGUAAACAUUCUUCCGGCAAAGUCAUUUCAGCUGUUGGCAUCAACACAAAAAUGCAGCGUUUCUUCGCCACUUCCCUGGUGGGUUUUCCAAAAUUACGAUUUGAAGAUGUGCAGAAGAUUGUGGAGUCACACUCAGCAACACCACAGUCCAGGCUGAGAAAGGGGUACAAGUUCUUUGUGGAGGAGUUCGUACACAAUUAUCAAGUUGUUGGAAAGGUGGUAGUGAGAGGUAGAUGCAACCAGUCGAUGAGGAGGAAUGAGGAGCCCCACAUACUACAGAUCACCCUGGAGGCUGUUGGACAACUUGGUCCCUCAGAGCACAGUAGCUGUGCUGCGGGCAAAGGCUUCUGUAGCCAUGUAACCGCUCUGCUCUUCCAGACAGCGCAUUAUGUGCAGCUGGGCCUUGAGGUGGUUCCACCUUCCCUGGUCUGUACCAGUCAACCACAGAUGUGGCAUCAACCUAGAACACAGGGAAUCCAUCCGGAGGCUGUGAGUGACAUUGUGGUGAAAAAAAGCCAAGUCAGUGGGGAAGAGUCAAGUACACACUCUACAGAGCGUAUGCUGCUAAGACAUUUUUUUUGCAAUUUGCACUCUGUUAAACUUCCUCAUUAUGACAAGAUGCAUAUUAGAAUAUAUCUGUUAUCACUACAAUAUUAAAAAAAACAGUCCCAUUUUUAUUUGACGUUUCCUCUAGGGCCCCUACCAGAACAACACAUCUUGGUGUCGGGAGCAAAGCUGAGUGAGAUUCACCCCUCGCCCUUUGAUGUCCCAAAUCCUAGAGGGAAUAUCCAGCUUGGAGUUGGUUCCAUCUCAGCUGUGCUGACCUGGAAGAUGUCAGCAAUGACCUGUUCUUUAAGGCCAGUUGCUACUCUACAACAGUAGAUGACAAACUCAUCAAUGACUGGAAUCUUCCUUGAAGGCCUUGGUGUUGGAAUCGCCUCUUGUCCAAUCCUCUGUGCUUUGCUCCAAUAAACAAUAUAUUGUGUUGAGGGGCAAACAGACUCCCAAAACACUUGAAACACUCUGUUGAGGACAGUUUGUGGCCCCAUGGACAUUUCUUGCAGCCUUGCCUCCAGCUCAGCAAUAUACUCCAGGGCAUCAUCCAGUGCACCUACAAAAAAUUAAGACAAAUCGGUCUUCAUUACCAUUCAUUAGUAUUCAUACUUUAUUUUUAUUGUAUUGUUAUUCGGUAUACUUAACCGUAUAUUUAUUAUUUAUUUAUUUGUACUGUUUUCUGUUUUUCUUUUUUAUAUAUUAACAAUAAGUUAAAUGUUGUGUGUUGUACAUAGAGAGCAAAAACCAAAGUCAAAUUCCUCGUUUGUUCGCAAACCUGGCCAAUAAAGCUGAAUCUGAAUCUGAAUUAAUAUGCAACCCCAGUUUAACAGUACGUCUGAUGUUGAUUGAAUGUUUUAACGUUAACCAUGCCAUGUUUGGCAAAAGUAUACAAUAGCCCAACAAGUGUUGAACACAAAUAACAGACACGUUCGAGUACCUGUUUGGGGUGCCCCCUUCUUGGUGGCCGUGUGAGCGGGGACUCGAACCUGAGUCUACAGAGUGUUAGCCAACACUCUUACCGCUGCAUCACCAAGACGCCGACUAGAACAUUCCCGGAAGACCUACUUGACUUUACAAUUCAGCAGACUUAGAAAUAAUAGACUCAAUUUAACACAAUGCCAUUGACAUUCCCAGGACCUAAGCCCCAGUCUCCGGAUUGAAAAUCACAAGCUCUCCCUGCAGCACCAGACACAGUGGCGUCACUAGGCUGUUUUAUUCGGGGCUAAAGCCCCGGAUCUAAUUUGAUUAGCCCCGAAUCUUUUUUCUUAAAAAAAGAAAAGAAAAAAAUAUUGUAUAUAUAUUUUUAUUUUGCUGCAUGCAGAGCCUGUGCCAUAUCCGCACGUCGCACAUGCUCCCAUUUGUUGGGACUCUUGCGUAGCUUACUGCUAGGAAUUUCUGUUCUACUGUUCUUCUGUUCUCAAGAUUUUAAGCCAUGAAUUGAUGAACUUGCAUUGAAGAAAAUAUGUCAGUUUUCUGUGGGCUGUAAAUAGGCCAAUGAGGCUAAAUAGCAUGCCAAUAUUGAUGACUGAUUGUGUCAAGUGUCUAAGGAUGAAUGCUAACAUGAUUUCUUUCCAACUUUUGCCUUAGGUUACAAUUUAUCUAACUAGCUAGCUGCUCACCCUUUUCAAUUCCAAUGGUGGCUGUCAUUUCAUUACCAAUGUUAAGUGUCAUAAAUAGUUAACACUGGUGCUGAAUCAUGAUUCCUAAAAAAUAAAUACCCAAAACAUGUGAUAUGUUUUAAAUUUGCAGAAAGUUUUGAAAAAUCCAGGAUGCCCGAGAGCCUUACUGCAUUAUAUUCCAUAAUAGUUGUUUCUUUAGGAACCUGAAUGUUGUCUUUUCCUGCACAGAAAACAAAAUAUUUAAACUAUAAAAUGAUGUGGAAAAGGCACAGAUAGAUUAAUAAAAAUCCACCAGAAUGAAGGAAAUUAAGUUUGUUUGACUCUCAAAAUUUUCUGGGGGAGCACCCCCAUACCCCCCACCUAUAAUUUGUCCCCCAAAAUGUUGAAAUGAAACCUACCCUAUAUGGCCCUGUGCGCAGGUUGUAUACAAUACAUUCAUACACAUGUUGUUUUUACUUUUUGGAUUAAAAAGAAGGCAUGUCAGCAAACUCCAUGUCGGCCCUUAGUGUGAUUAUCAUUUCAUCAUUGAGUGGCCCUUUGUGAAAAUUAGUUUGACACCCCUGAUAUAAUGUAAGGUCGGUCUCACUUGUAUUCAUUUUACUCUGAAAUAACUUGAAUGGAACUUUAGAUGUCUGGGGAUAGGCAGCAGUCAGGUAGCUAUUCAAAGCUAUAAUUACCUGCCUAUUUUUUUUUUUUAGGUAAAGCAUUAUGAACAAAAAUGUGCAUUCGCAAUAAAGCAUACAACAAAAUGUGCCUGUCCUAUUCCAUCUUGGGCUAAGCCCCGGAUGUUUCAGAAACCUAGAAACACCCCUGACAGACAGUGAGUUCAGAAGAUCAGAGUUUCAGAAGAUCAGAGGAUAUAUAUGACCUAACAAUACAUGACAAUUUUUAAAGAACAUGUCUGCUGCUUCUAUUGUUUGAGUCCUUGUGUUUAUUGUGUUCAUGUAAGGGACUGUUCUUCUAUUGUUUGAGUCCUUGAGUUUAUUGUGUACAUGUGAGGGACUGUUUUUCUGUUUGGUUAAUAACGACUCAGCGGGUUCACUGAAUGUUCUCUGUGUUCAGCAGAGGAUCAAUUUACAUUUUAAGUUCGGGGGUUCACUGAAUAAAAAGCACAAU